CACGCCGUAAACGAUGAAUGCCAGCCGUUGGGGGGUUUACCCUUCAGUGGCGCAGCUAACGCUUUAAGCAUUCCGCCUGGGGAGUACGGUCGCAAGAUUAAAACUCAAAGGAAUUGACGGGGGCCCGCACAAGCGGUGGAGCAUGUGGUUUAAUUCGACGCAACGCGCAGAACCUUACCAGCUCUUGACAUGUCCAUGACCGGCCGCAGAGAUGUGGCUUUCCCUUCGGGGCAUGGAACACAGGUGC
rnacentral:rRNA from 1 species